GGAGAGAUGGCUGAGUGGUUGAUAGCUCCGGUCUUGAAAACCGGUAUAGUUCUAGGAACUACCGA
rnacentral:tRNA from 3 species